CUGUAGCUCAGCUGGUCAGAGCAGGGGACUCAUAAUCCCUUGGUCGCGGGUUCAAGUCCCGCCGGGG
rnacentral:tRNA from 1 species